GACGAACGCUGGCGGCGUGCUUAACACAUGCAAGUCGAACGGUAAGGCCCUUCGGGGUACACGAGUGGCGAACGGGUGAGUAACACGUGGGUGAUCUGCCCCGCACUUCGGGAUAAGCCUGGGAAACUGGGUCUAAUACCGGAUAGGACUCCUGGCUUCAUGGUUGGGGGUGGAAAGCUUUUGCGGUGUGGGAUGGGCCCGCGGCCUAUCAGCUUGUUGGUGGGGUAAUGGCCUACCAAGGCGACGACGGGUAGCCGGCCUGAGAGGGUGACCGGGCACACUGGGACUGGGAUACGGCCCAGACUCCUACGGGAGGCAGCAGUGGGGAAUAUUGCACAAUGGGCGCAAGCCUGAUGCAGCGACGCCGCGUGAGGGAUGACGGCCUUCGGGUUGUAAACCUCUUUCAGCUAUGACGAAGCGCAAGUGACGGUAGUAGCAGAAGAAGGACCGGCCAACUACGUGCCAGCCGCCGCGGUAA
rnacentral:rRNA from 1 species